AGAGAAGCAAUACCGCGAGGUGGAGCAAAACUUCAAAAAUGGUCUCAGUUCGGACUGUAGGCUGCAACUCGCCUACACGAAGUUGGAAUUGCUAGUAAUCGUGGAUCAGCAUGCCACGGUGAAUACGUUCCCGGGUCUUGUACACACCGCCCGUCACACCAUGGGAGCUGGUAACACCCGAAGUCAGUAGUCUAACCGCAAGGAGGACGCUGCCGAAGGUGGGAUUAGCGACUGGGGUGAAGUCGUAACAAGGUAUC
rnacentral:rRNA from 1 species